UGUGAUUUGAAGUGAUCUAUGAAAGGAAUAAAAAAUCAAUAGACAUUUUAAAAAACUGUGGUACAUAAUUACAAAGUGCGAUACGGACGGAGCGAUCAGCAGGCCGAAUUCCUCUUCAGUUCUUCACGCGUGCAUAUGUUACACUUUUUAUAUAAUACAUACAUUCAAUCAUAGGUAUACGUAAUAAUUGAAUAUUGAAGUUUUCUUUACUUGUAUUUUCGAUAUUCCGAUCAGUUGAGUAGUUAUAUAGAACACGAAGUUUCUUCGUUUCAUAUAGACUCUUUUACUCUUUCAUGUAAAUAAUUAUCAUCGAAAUAUAGAUGAAAGAUGUAACAAAUUAAAAAAUUUGAUAAUUCCAUGAUUUCAUAUAUAUUUGAAAUUUUAUUAUCUUUAUUUGUAUUGUUUUGAAAUUAAGAAAUAGGAACGAUAAGUUCUUUCUUGCAAAAUAUUAUUAUCAUUAUUAAUAACUUUAUCAUUAAAAAUGCUAAAUUAAUAGCAUUAAUAAAAGAAACGUUUUCCUUUAUUUGCAUAAAACUUAAAGUAAUUAUAAUGGACACAAUACUUUUUAUAUAAAUCGUAUAUUUGAUAAAUUCCAAUAAUAUUUCCGUUUUAACUUUUUUUGAUUUUUAUGUCAUUGAUAUUUCUAACAUUUUAUUUCUCUCAAAAUUUAUUUUAUUAAAAUUCAUCAUCAUUUUCUCAAUUCUUUUCGUUCCUAUUUUCAUA